rnacentral:rRNA from 1 species
AUCUAUGGCCAUACUACCCUGAACACACCGGAUCUCAUCUGAUCUUGGAAGCUAAGCAGGGUCAGGCCUGGGUAGCAUUUGGAUUGCAGACUGCCUGGGAAUACCAGGUGCCGUAGGCU